AGGGAGGGGCAAGGACUUACCCAAAGUCUGAUUCUAACUUCAGUGCUCUCUUGAAUUGACUAGAUGUGGAAGCGUCUCAGAGCUUGGUGUAACGUGAGCUGGUGGGCAGAGUCCUCUUCCCCACCAGUGUCUCCCUGAGUCCUGAUGCCAGGAGGGCAGGGCCCCCUAAGGGAUGGGUUCUCGCUAUGUUAACCAGGCUGGACUUGAACUCCUGGACUCAAGUGAUUCUUGCCAGAACUCCUGGCCUCCCAAAGUGCUGGGAUUACAGAUGAGUUUGCUGCAGAGUGCAGAGGAACUUGCUGCAGGUCAUAGAUCAGGGCUGGUCUUAGAGUUAUGUGUCCUUCCUUCAACUUGAUGAAAACAACUCUCCCGGCACUUCUCUGGAGCAAAGCUGGCGGUCCUCCUUGGAUACGGUGAGCCACCAAGCUGGGCUCUAAAGCAGGUGGACAAGUUCAGGGCCCCCUGUUACGAUGGGUUCACAGUCAUUCUGAGGCUUUUGCAAGUGUUUUUCUGGUGCAGGGCUCUGCACUGGCCCUCCAAAGAGAGACACAAAAUGGCUAUUUUCGCAGAUACACUCAUGGUGGGAGUGGCCGUCAGCCAAAAUGCCCCGAUGUGCUUCUCAGAGUGUGUGGAUAGACCUCCCUUCCUCUCCAGCCAUGAACUCGCAGGGCCAUGGGAGAAGAUGGGUGUCCUGCAGGUCAGGGCUGAGAACAGUGGCUGACUGAUGGCGACAAGGGCAGUCCUGAGUGGCCUGCACAGCACCUCAAUCUGGAACCCAGAGGAGUUGUUGGCUGCAACAGCAGAUUAGUCAAACUCCCAGAUGGCAUCUCUGAGCAGGGAGUUCGAGGUAAAAAGGCCUGGACUUCCUUCCUUCUUCACUAAAACAGGACUGGAGAAUGAGGUCCUUGCACUGUAAUUAUACUCUGGCAGGAAACAAAUAACUAAGGCAUUUCUCUAAGUGAGGAAGGAAGGAAAACAUCCAAGGCUCUGGGGAUCCUUCAGCUUCUACUCUUGUGGCAUUGGAAUAAUAAGAACAGCCAUCUACUCUUCAAUCUUUGCCAAGCCCCAUGAAGUAGGUAUUUUCCACCUUAGUCUACAGACGCAGGAAUGGUGGGUUGCCCACAGCUGCAAUGCUGGUCAGUGGUGUCACAGAGCUGGGACUGAAUUGUACUUGUGCCCAACUCAGAAGCCCCGCAGGUCUCUCUGCCUCACCUGCUGUUAUGUGGAGGGGGCACUUUCUCUUAUGAGCUCAGCGUAGUCACAGGUGCACAGCGAUGCCCAACCAGGAGGCAGAAGUCCACCCUUCACUUUCCCUGACAAUUUGAGUGCCUGGGUGCACUCAAGGAAAGGGCUCCCGUUCCUUUAUACAAAAGUGCUGUCUGUUCGCAAGCCAUGCCUCCUGGGGCUGCACCCACCCCACAGGGAGCCUUUUUUCUAGUUCACACGGAGGGACCAAGUAGACUAGUGGUGGCCUUAUAUUAGCUGUUGUCAAUUGAACUUCUUUGGGCCUGAGUUUUUUUCUCAUGAGAAGUGAGGCUCUUAGGAUGCCUUCUUACUUACAAAGUAAGUGUUGGGGCUUACUUACAAAGUAAGUGUUGGGGCUUACUUACAAACACCUGCAGGUUGGCAGAUGUUUGUAGGCCGGCGUGUGUGUGUACGAAGGAGAAGCAUCCCUUCUUAGACUCCUGUCUUCCUGGGCUCACGGUACUUCUACUGGUCAUCCCAGUUCCUGGGUUGGGGUUCACCCAACACAGGCUGCCUCAGCCUGAACUUUGCGGUGAUGGAUUGGUGACCAGGCCCUCACCACAGGGCUUCCAGGGACCACCAGUCUCUGGUGUAGGCAUGUACUAGGAGGAAGGGAUUGAGCAACCAGCUGCCCUGUGCUCUGUAAGGACCCAUGGUGCACCCCCACUGCAGCCACUCAGGGGAUGGGCCCUAACCCGUCUCUUUCUCACUGUCUGGCUUUUGUAAAUAUCCCCGGCCUCUUCUUUGCCCAGCAGAUUCCUGUUCUGCUUCCUCUGUCCCAUGCUGAGCACACAGCAUGGAGCGCAGCCCUGGGCGCACAGUAGGCGCUCUGCCCUGCUCCCUGAACUAGUGGUCAGGUGAACGAGCCCUGACUUUGCUCUGCCAUUGCUGGGCUGUGUCCCUCGGAUUGCUGCCCCCGUUCCCACAGGCCUGGGCCCGUUAAGCUUCCAUCUCUCACCUCGUUAUCGCCUGGGCUUGGGGGUUCUUGGCUGGGAGGUCCGAGGUGUCCCAGCUUCCCCCUAGGCAGAGCCCCUGCAGGUCUUAUUUAGGGAAACCCCCACACGCAGAGGGGCAUUGUCUCAGUGGGUUGAAAAGGCUACUUUCCUCCAGCUCAUUGAUCAGAUCCCAGAGAACAGUGGGGAGCCUGAGCCCAGGGGCCGAGGCAUCUUGAGGGGCUGGGGCUUUCUGAGAGCCUUUAUCUCAGCACAGGAGAUAAGACCCCAGAGGCUGCAGGAGCCAUAAAGCAAGGAGGGGCUGGCAGUUGAGGAUCCCGGGGAGCCGGGCUUUGAACUCUGCCCUCAUGGGGGUGGGAAGCCUUUAUGGCUGGGCUGCUCUGGGGCCGAGGUGGGAGCAGAGCCAUUACGGGAGAAAAGAGUCCCCAGAGCCGGCCCCCUGGCACCCAGACUGCACGGUGAGACAACGGAGCCCGGAGUGGUGGGACCAGCGGCGGAAACAGCGCUCCAUCCGGGCUUUAUUGACUUGUAAACGGUACCAUUAAAGAGGAAGGCCUCACCUUGGCUGGAAGCAGCUGUGUGCGCUGCCGUAAAUCUAGGGCGAGCUCUGAGGCUGCAGCCGGGCCUGGCAAAUGCCAAGCAUGCCCUGGGCAGAAGGGGGUGCAGGCCAGGGAUCCCCACCACACCCAGCUCCUAGCUCCACUGAGGGGCUGAGUAUGGGAAUUUAUAAGAAGGAUGUUUACCAGGGGAAAUAUCAGUGGCUAAUUAGACUUUGCAAAUAAAAAAACUUUUCAAACUUUGUUUUCCACUUUUUUUUUUUUUUUUUUUAAAGAGAAGGGAUCUCGCUUUAUUGCUCAGGCUUGUCUCGAACUCCUAAACUCAAGCAAUCCUCCUGUUUUGGCCUCUUGAAUGCUAGGAUUACAGACGUGAGGCACAGCACCCAGCCAUCC